AUUGAACGCUGGCGGCAGGCCUAACACAUGCAAGUCGAACGAGUGGCGGACGGGUGAGUAAUGUUUGGGAAUCUACCUUAUGGCGGGGGAUAACUACGGGAAACUGUAGCUAAUACCGCAUACCAUCCGAUGAUCCCAGGUUGGAUUAGGUAGUGGGUAAGGUAACGGCUCACCAAGGCGACGAUCCCUAGCUGGUCUGAGAGGAUGACCAGCCACACUGGGACUGAGACACGGCCCAGACUCCUACGGGAGGCAGCAGUGGGGAAUAUUGCGCAAUGGGCGAAAGCCUGACGCAGCCAUGCCGCGUGAAUGAAGAAGGCCUUCGGGUUGUAAAGUUCUUUCAUUAGGGAGGCGUUACCUACAGAAGAAGCACCGGCUAACUCCGUGCCAGCAGCCGCGGUAAUAC
rnacentral:rRNA from 1 species